UACGAGAGCCUCGAGCGUUAUCCGGAAUUAUUGGGCGUAAAGGGUGCGUAGGUGGCUGUGUUAGUCGUGUGUUAAAUACCUGGGCUCAACCUAGGAAAGGCAUGCGAAACGGCACAGCUUGAAUAUGUGAGAGGUGUACAGAACUUUAGGUGUAGGGGUGAAAUCCGUUGAUAUCUAAGGGAAUACCAAAUGCGAAGGCAGUACACUGGCACAUUAUUGACACUCAAGCACGAAAGCGUGGGUAGCGAAU
rnacentral:rRNA from 1 species